rnacentral:lncRNA from 1 species
CAGGACCAGGGACCAGCCAGAGCUUCAUAAUUGUCAGCUGAGUGGAAUCCCUUCUUGGGGCAAGUCAGUGAGAAAGACUUUCUCAGGCUGCAGUUGACAACCCUUGGCUGAGGCCCCCACUGUGAGCUGGGCAGGUUGGCCAGGGAAUAAGGAGGAGGAGACUGCUUACUUAGCAUCAGUCAAGGUUGAGGGGCCAUGGGCCAAGUUUCAGCAUCUGCAAAAGGGCUGUUACAAAUAUUCCCUGAAAGCAUCUUCCUGGAGACAGAGCUCUGAGUUUGGGCCUGGCAUGCAGCUCCACAGAGUCUGCUCAGCAUUUUCUGCCAGCAGAGCCAGCCCUGCUGGUCCCAGGAGCAAGUGGGGGCUCACAUAAGACCUCCUCCAUCAGGCUCUUCUGAGGAUCAAUGGAACUAUGACGGCAUGUUCAGCACCCUGCCCCAAGGACAAACUCUCUCCUUACUUGCCUCAUUCUGCUCUGAGUCAGAGGAAUGGCCCAAAUGACCUUGGAGCUCUGUGGCGUCAUCGCUUCUUGCAGCCUUCCCUGGAGAGCUGACUCUCAAGCGAGCAUACCCAGCUGGAAGGCGGAAAGAAUUUUAAGCACAAGGAGCCGAGGCCUGCACUUGAGCAAAUGUCUUCUUCAGCCUACAUUUUCUUCCGAACACCCCAAGCAACUAUGGAAACCCAACCUGUGGAGAGUAAAGGGGCUUCAGAAGGGUUUUGUGUG